GAAAACUUCCCAUAAUUAAAAGUGCUGCUGAAUAUUUCGGGAAGCUUAUGUUGGACAUGCUCCAUCUCAAAAAACUUGUGAACACUGGUUUAAAUGUUUAAAAGUGAUGAUUUCUAUAUGAAAGACAAAAAACAUCCAGGUCAAC